AGCAGCCGCGGUAAUUCCAGCUCCAAUAGCGUAUAUUAAAGUUGUUGCAGUUAAAAAGCUCGUAGUUGAAUUUCGGGGUUAGUAGGUUGGUCAUGCCACUGGUAUGUACUGGUCUCACUGAUUCCUCCUUCCUGAUGAACUGUAAUGCCAUUAAUUUGGUGUUGCAGGGAAUCUGGACUGUUACUUUGAAAAAUUAGAGUGUUUAAAGCAGGCUAACGCCUGAAUACAUUAGCAUGGAAUAAUGAAAUAGGACGUUCGAUCCUAUUUUGUUGGUUUCUAGGAUUGACGUAAUGAUUAAUAGGGAUAGUUGGGGGCAUUAGUAUUCAAUUGUCAGAGGUGAAAUUCUUGGAUUUAUUGAAGACUAACUACUGCGAAAGCAUUUGCCAAGGAUGUUUUCAUUAAUCAAGAACGAAAGUUAGGGGAUCGAAGACGAUCAGAUACCGUCGUAGUCUUAACCAUAAACUAUGCCGACUAGGGAUCGGAUGAUGUUAAUUUUUUAAUGACUCAUUCGGCGUCCG
rnacentral:rRNA from 1 species